rnacentral:rRNA from 1 species
UACGUAGGGCGCAAGCGUUAUCCGGAAUUAUUGGGCGUAAAGAGCUCGUAGGCGGUUUGUUGCGUCGGCUGUGAAAUCCCGAGGCUCAACCUCGGGUCUGCAGUCGAUACGAGCAAACUAGAGUGUUGCAGGGGAGACUGGAAUUCCUGGUGUAGCGGUGAAAUGCGCAGAUAUCAGGAGGAACACCGGUGGCGAAGGCGGGUCUCUGGGCAACAACUGACGCUGAGGAGCGAAAGCCAGGGGAGCAAACGGG